rnacentral:antisense_RNA from 1 species
CUUAGUUACUAGAAUAUUUUUCUCAACCAUGAAUCUGACUUCACUCCCUUUCUUGAAAACCUCCUGUAGUUCCUGUUGUGUACAGGAUAAAGGUGCUUACCAUGGGGCUGCGCAGGUGGAAAGCAGCCCAGUCUUACUAUGAGGAUGUCAGUUUGCCAUCUGGGAACAAGGAGGAAGAAGCAGAGACCUGGGCAAGACCUCAGAGAAUAAAUUAUCUCAAUGGCUACUCACAUGGUUCAGCAUAGCACACAAAAAAGCCACACUGAGCAAGCAGUGGUCCUUUCCAUGCUACACAAGCAAGAAAUGCCUAUGAAGACAGACUUGAGUGCAGUCUAAAGAAUCUUUUUGCUUUGCCUUAACACUCUAUUUCUGGAUAUCCUUGCUCAAAAAGAAGUCUACUCAAGACAGGGAGGUUCCUGUGGACAGAAACAUCUGCUUCCUGCUUAUCCUGUAUCUCAGCAUCUGAAUGGUCAUGACUGGAACACAGGCAGACUUUAGAAAUAUGGCAAUUUACAAUCUCAUACUCCUCCAAUCUUUUAGAAAAAGAGUGUGGGUAACAAUAAACGUAUCUGCUGAGAAAUCA